GACAGAGGGUGCAAACGUUGCUCGGAAUUACUGGGCGUAAAGCGCGUGUAGGCGGCACGGUCAGUCGGGUGUGAAAGCCCUGGGCUCAACCCAGGAAGGGCACACGAUACUACCGAGCUGGGGUACUGAAGAGGAGAGCGGAAUUCCCGGUGUAGAGGUGGAAUUCGUAGAUAUCGGGAGGAACACCAGUGGCGAAGGCGGCUCUCUGGGCAGAUACCGACGCUGAGACGCGAAAGCGUGGGAAGCAAACAGG
rnacentral:rRNA from 1 species